CAGUUUGAGAAGAUGGCGGCCUGAACCGGAGUCCUUCUUCCCCUCCUCCCUCUCCGCUGCUGCAAUGCCCAGGCCCCCCCGACGUUCCUCGUCUGUAAUGGUGCCAGAGGCUUUAAAUCUUGCAGAAGCCACAUCUGCUGCCUGCAGCAGAGAUGGGGUUUCACCAUAUUGGCCAGGCUGGUCUUGAACUCAACAUGAUUCGCCCAACACAGCCUCUCAAAGUGCUGGGACUACAGUCUCUGGUAUGUCAUUAUCAGCAGUGUGAAAAUGCUGAUAAUGCAUUUUCCACCCUGUCUGGAUCUGGACAAGAGCCCACCACCCCGUUGGCAGUAGUCAGGCAGCUCUGCUCCUAAGAACCUGCAGCUUUUGGAAGAAAGGCACCCUGUGGUUUCAGAAGCC
rnacentral:lncRNA from 1 species